AAAUAUUUGUGCGCGGGAAGCCACAAGCGACAUCGCAGUCACAAAUGUUCGUCGUAGGAUAAGGUUUGAUUUUGUGUAGAAUGUAUGGACAGCUACCUGUUGGGUUAUGACAGCGAGUUUGAAACAAUAUUCAGAUGCAAAACUAUUAAAGGUUGUAGAUUCAAAGACACAGAGCAACGAACGAGGAAUUUUACAACUUUUUCAAACACUGCUUGAAAGUUGACAGAACAAUUUAUCAUUGUAGCAAAAGAAAUUCGUCAAGUGCCAGCUUUUCAUCACUGAGUGAGAUGGAGGCCUAUCAAGUCUGAAGAGCAAGUCUCUGGGAUGGGAAGAGAAGACUAUAGAGAACUUGAAGUUCAUUAUCUCGCAUAAAGUUCAGCUUUCUAAAACUCUUCUUGAAAGCGGAAAAGACAGUUUAUCAUAAUACAUCAAAAGACAUGCGGAGUUAUUUGUCCGAUUAUGCAUCACUGAGAGAGGUGGAUGAAUCGAGUCUAAAGAGCAAUUUUCUAAAUCACUGCUUGAAAGGGUCAUUGCAUCAAACGGACAUUGUUAUCAGUCUGGUGCCUCACGGAGUGGGAUGGAAGCCUAUAUAGUCCCAAGAGUAAAGAGCAAAUGCAAAACUAUUAAAGGUUGUAGAUUCAAAGACACAGAGCAACGAACGAGGAAUUUUACAACUUUUUCAAACACUGCUUGAAAGUUGACAGAACAAUUUAUCAUUGUAGCAAAAGAAAUUCGUCAAGUG